AGUGAACGCUGGCGGUAGGCCUAACACAUGCAAGUCGAACGGCAGCACAGUAAGAGCUUGCUCUUACGGGUGGCGAGUGGCGGACGGGUGAGGAAUACAUCGGAAUCUACUUUUUCGUGGGGGAUAACGUAGGGAAACUUACGCUAAUACCGCAUACGACCUACGGGUGAAAGCAGGGGAUCUUCGGACCUUGCGCGAUUGAAUGAGCCGAUGUCGGAUUAGCUAGUUGGCGGGGUAAAGGUCCACCAAGGCGACGAUCCGUAGCUGGUCUGAGAGGAUGAUCAGCCACACUGGAACUGAGACACGGUCCAGACUCCUACGGGAGGCAGCAGUGGGGAAUAUUGGACAAUGGGCGCAAGCCUGAUCCAGCCAUACCGCGUGGGUGAAGAAGGCCUUCGGGUUGUAAAGCCCUUUUGUUGGGAAAGAAAAGCAGCAGGUUAAUACCCCGCUAUUCUGACGGUACCCAAAGAAUAAGCACCGGCUAACUUCGUG
rnacentral:rRNA from 1 species